UACGUAGGCAGCGAGCGUUGUUCGGAGUUACUGGGCGUAAAGAGUGCGUAGGCGGUUUUCUAAGUUUGGUGUGAAAUCUCCCGGCUUAACUGGGAGGGUGCGCCGAAGACUGGAAGGCUUGAGUAUGGGAGAGGUAAGCGGAAUUCCUGGUGUGAGCGGUGAAAUGCGUAGAUAUCAGGAGGAACACCUGCGGUGUAGACGGCUUACUGGACCAUAACUGACGCUGAGGCGCGAAAGCGUGGGUAGCAAACAGG
rnacentral:rRNA from 1 species